AGUGAACGCUGGCGGUAGGCCUAACACAUGCAAGUCGAACGGCAGCAUAGUAAGAGCUUGCUCUUACGGGUGGCGAGUGGCGGACGGGUGAGGAAUACAUCGGAAUCUACUUUUUCGUGGGGGAUAACGUAGGGAAACUUACGCUAAUACCGCAUACGACCUACGGGUGAAAGCAGGGGAUCUUCGGACUUUGCGCGAUUGAAUGAGCCGAUGUCGGAUUAGUUAGUUGGCGGGGUAAAGGCCCACCAAGGCGACGAUCCGUAGCUGGUCUGAGAGGAUGACUAGCCACACUGGAACUGAGACACGGUCCAGACUCCAACGGGAGGAAGAAGUGCGGAAUAUUGGACAAUGGGCACAAGCCUGAUCCAGCCAUACCGCUUAGGUGAAGAAGGCCUUCGGGUGUUAAAACCCUUUUGUUGGGAAAGAAAAGCAGCAGGUUAAUCCCCCGCUGUUCUGACGGUACCCGAAGAAUAAGCACCGGCUAACUUCGUG
rnacentral:rRNA from 1 species